AUGUAUCCAGGCUCCAACGAGGUGCCGUCUGAGGAUGCCCUGGUUCUACAGCUACGUGUGGCGAAGGGUCAGGAAAAGCUGGUGGAGGAGCUCCAGACCCAGCAGAGCGAGAUUAAACAGCUGCAGAGCAGACUGACGGAGCAACAGGGAACUCUCGUGGCCCAGCAGAAGGAAAUCCUCGAGCAGCAGCGACGGAUGUUUGAGCAGAUGGAUCAAGUCAAGACCCAGUACAACUUGCUCCUGGACAGCGUCAGACACAUGUCCCUCCAGGACCCACACAAAAUCCUCGAGGGCCACCUAGAGAACCUCAGGCCCCAGAUGAGGAGUCACGAGCAGGAAGCUUACACCAUGCACAAGGUGGACAUGGACGCCAGCGUAAUGGAGGUUGGAAGAUUUCUACCAGGCUGCGGGUCCUGUCGAGCUGAUGAGUACUGUGAUUUCAGUGGGGACUGGCCUCGCUGCGAGAAAUGCACUGUCUGUCUUCCGGGUUUCUUCCUGGUGUCCCAGUGUUCUAUUCACGCAGACAGGAUGUGUCAGGACAGAGACGAAUGCCUGGAGAUACAAAACCUUUGUGGAGCUCAGAAUCAGUGCCUCAAUACCCCAGGCGGAUUUAAGUGUACAGGGUUGUCGGUGAAAGACGCAGCAGACGGCGUGUGUGGCCACGCUUACUUCUACAAUUUGGAGUUGCAGGAGUGCCAGGCGUGUUCUGAGUGUGAUUCCCAGAGCGAGGUUUCCCCGUGCACAGCCAUGAGUGACACAGUGUGCACAAGUCCCUCUGAUACUGGCCUGUCCAUCGCUUGGUCUGGGGAUGUUGCUUUGGCUCCAGACGGCGAGUUUCCCAACAUGGAGCUUCACAUCCAGGGCAACAGUGACGGGAGCCUGGUUUCCAGCUCCAGCGGACAGUUGGUGUUCCAUCAGCACGGGCUUGUCUGGGUGGAUCAAAACCUUGCGUUGAGGCACGGCUGCAGGAGUUUUGUUCAGGUGUGCUUGAGGUUAAACGCGAGUGAAGAAGGUGGUCGGGAUUUGAGCGGAAUUCGCGUGGAACAGAGGGAAGGCAAGUCUCUUCAGAGCAUCAGUUUGAGUGCGGCGUCCACCGUGGAGCCGGGUCAGGUGCUGUCUCUGUUUCUGAAGAGCGCCAGCCACCACUGCAACCCUGACAAUGAGAAGGUUCACCUGGAGACCAGCCUGGUGUCGCCCUUUAGCUUGCUCUGGCUCUCCCAUGACACGGGUGCCGUGGCUAUGACAGCUCAAGCGGUCGCCUCGGCACACUUCCAUACCAAUUACCGCCCCACCUUCCGCACCUCUUCCAUCUCUGACCCUUAUAUAGUAAGUCUGACUCACGACAGUCGUGGGGUGCGCUUUACAGAGAGAGGCACUGUGAAAUUUGUCCUCCAGCAGGCUGUGUACUCCAUGGGUCAAGCCUGUGUCUCCGAGGGCUUCUACUUGUCGGCGUUCGUCAACCACAAUGGAAGCAGUGUGGAGCUGACUCGUGUCUUUAAACCUGGUGUUCACUACCGAGACUCAUCCAUAACCCUGUCUUCUGCCGCCCCUGUAGACGCCGGGGACACCCUCAGCUUUGAAAUCCAAGCACCGGCUCAGUGCAACGUCCGCUACUUUGGUGACGACUCUGGAAUUAGCAUGCUCAGUCUCGUGUGGAUCCCUUCCGUCGUAUCAUCCUCUAUAUCAGCCACCAUCUCCAGCAAGGGUCUACCCUUUGGCGCAGUGCGGAAUAAAGCCCUGCUCUUCCGCCAGACAUCCCCGUCAGUGGCACAAGUGGACCUAGCCGGAGCCGGGCACCAUCACCCACACCGAAACUUUAUCUUCAAGGAGGCCGGCACAGCUAGUGUGGCCCUUGACCUGAGGUUGAUCCACUCCUGCAGUCUGAUCAAGCUCAGCUUACUCAAGCAAGCGAAGCACCAGGGAGCGCAGUCCACGGCCCUUGCCCAGCAGGCUGGAGGUCAGAUGCCUGAAGGGAGUGAGUGGGCCACUGUAGGCCUCAGGGUAUCGUUCCCGGUGAAUAACGGCACAGAAGUGUUUGCCACGGUGGACUGUGUGCGCGGACGUCUCAACCAGAUUGCUCAUGAUGUCGGAAGUAGCAUUAGCAUACUCUGGACUGCUGCUUGAAUUGCUUUUUUUUUUUUUUUUAGAAAUGUGGCCGAGCUUUAGUUAUAUUAGCACACAUCGAUUGUAUUAGCCUUUAUAUAAAAUGAGAGAUAAAGAGAUUAAGUCUAGUCUUGGUCUAUACAGCAUUUUAAAUUAAGAUUAUCCUUUAAAAGAAACUUAAACCUUGUCUAUGUCUACGCUCUAUGCUUAUUUUUUGUUGGAAAACCAACCCUAAAUGUAAUUGCUGUAGUAUUAAGUAACCAGUUAUUGUGUUAUGUCUCUAGCAUCUAUAUAUUUUUUUCCAUGUACAACUCUAAACACAUGUGUAGGUUCACUGGUGGGAUAGUUGGGAUAGUACUGUAUUUUUUGCACUAUAAGGUGCACCAGAUCAGUGAACAUAUAUUUUCUGGUCUAUUUUCAUACAUUUUGUGCACUGGAUUAUAAGGUGCAUUAUGUAUAAUAGUAAAGAACAGGGGUUUUGCCAUAUUUUCCUUCAAACAUUUUCUUUUAAAGUCAAAUGAGUGCUGAAACUGUUAUUUACAGUAAGCUUAGAUUACCAGAUUUCCACUAAGGCUGGGUGCAGCAGCGUUAGCAUUAGCAACUAUUCGCUCGACAGGAUUAGCAUUAGCAACUUGCUGUUUGACAGCACUAUUCUGAGGAACCCUGAGUGUUUUGGAAAGCCAGGGCAAUAUUAGCUAGUGUUUCGUCCCACAUAACUUGUUUUAACAUGGUAAACAUGCAGCCUACAGUCCGAUAUAUUCGCCUCUAAAUAGCCAAAGAGCUAGCGCUUCGUUUAGCAGAUAAUGCUAAUACUGCUCCAGCCUCGGUGCUGGAGAAGCUUCACUUGGUGUAGUUUCCUCUCUUAUUCAGGUAGUUAGCAAUGCUGUAUGAGUUGCCAUAUUAAUACUACUCUUUACAUAUAAUUUAUUUAGUGAUGCUUAUUUAGUGAUGCUUAUUUAGUGAUGCUUAUUUAGUGAAGCUGGUUUAUGUUUUAUGUAAUAUAAACACAAAAAUUACAGGGGUUAGAGGCCUCAUGAUCAAAAAAAUUAUGUUUAUAUCUUAGACCUAUUAAAUAAAGACCUUUU
ensembl:lncRNA